AUGGCCGCAGCCGCGUCCUCGCUGGCGAGGCGGGCCGUCUCCUGCCGCCGCCUGCUCCUCUCCCGCGCCUUCGCAGCCGCCGCCGCCCGCCCGGCCAAGCGGGUGCUCGUGCCGGUCGCGGCCGGCACGGAGCCGGUCGAGGCGGCCGCCACGGCCGACGUCCUCAACCGCGCCGGCGCGCGGGUCACCGUCGCGACCGUCGCCUUCGCGCCGGCCGGGGACGAGGGCCUCCUCGUGGAGGCCGCCUACGGGGUCAAGCUCGUCGCCGACGCCCGCGUCGCCGACCUCGAAGGCGAGGCCUUUGACCUCAUCGCCCUGCCGGGCGGGAUGCCGGGAUCAACUAAUCUUAGAGAAUGUAAAGUACUCGAGAAGAUGGUCAAGAUGCAUGCAGAGAAGGGGGAACUCUACGGCGCCAUUUGCGCUGCGCCGGCAGUGACGUUGGCCCAUUGGGGCAUGCUCAAAGGUUUAAAGGCAACUUGCUACCCGUCGUUCAUGGAGAAGUUCACUGCUGAAGUGAUCCCUGUGAACUCCAGGGUGGUGGUGGAUAGAAAUGUGGUGACCAGCCAGGGUCCAGGAACAGCAAUCGAGUUUGCUCUUGCUUUGGUGGAGCAGCUAUAUGACAAAGAGAAGAUGGAGGAGGUUGCUGGACCUUUGUAUGUGCGCCCUCAACAUGGAGCCGAGUAUACCAGCGAAGAGCUUAAUUCGGUUGAAUGGAAAUGCAGUGGUACACCUCAGGUUCUUGUGCCAGUUGCUAAUGGUUCAGAGGAAAUUGAAGCUCUUAAUUUAAUAGAUGUCUUGCGUAGAGCAGGCGCAAAUGUUACAGUUGCGUCAGUUGAGGAUACCCUGCAAAUCGUGACCCGGCGUCACAAGUUUAAUCUGAUAGCUGACAUGAUGUUGGACGAAGCUGCUAAAAUGGAAUUUGAUCUGAUUGUCAUGCCGGGCGGUCUGUCGGGUGCUCAAAAGUUUGCUAGUACAGACAAACUUGUUGAUCUACUGAAAAAGCAGGCAGGAUCUGGUAAACCCUAUGGUGCAAUAUGUGCUUCCCCAGCUCAUGUCCUCGAGCCCCACGGUUUACUGAAGGGGAAGAAGGCGACGGCAUUUCCACCCAUGGCGCACCUGCUUACAGACCAGAGCCUAUGUGAGAACAGGGUUGUGAUUGACGGGAAUCUUAUCACUAGCAGAGCCCCAGGGACUGCGACAGAGUUCGCCCUGGCCAUUGUUGAGAAGCUAUUUGGUCGAGAGAAAGCAGUCAGUAUAGCGAAGGAGUUUGUUUUUAUGUGA
rnacentral:rRNA from 1 species